rnacentral:rRNA from 1 species
UUGGUUCAGGAUGAACGCUGGCGGCGUGCCUAAUACAUGCAAGUGAAACGGGUAUCUUCGGAUACCAGUCGCGGACGGGUGAGUAAUACAUAGGCAACCUGCCUUUAUGAGGGGGAUAACCGAGGGAAACUUUGGCUAAUACCGCAUGAAGACUCUAAGGCAUCUUAGAGGGAUAAAAGUUGGGAAACAACGCAUGAAGAUGGGCUUAUGGCGCAUUAGCUAGUUGGUGAGAUAGAAGCCCACCAAGGUAAUGAUGCGUAGCCGACCUGAGAGGGUGAACGGCCACAUUGGGACUGAGACACGGCCCAAACUCCUACGGGAGGCAGCAGUAGGGAAUUUUCGGCAAUGGGGGGAACCCUGACCGAGCAACGCCGCGUGAAGGAAGAAGGUUUUCGGAUUGUAAACUUCUGUUAUAAGGGAAGAACGGAUUGGAUAGGGAAUGAUCUGAUAGUGACGGUACCUUAUUAGAAAGCCACGGCUAACUACGUGCCAGCCGCCGC